AUUGAACGCUGGCGGCAUGCCUAACACAUGCAAGUCGAACGGCAGCACAGCAGUAGCAAUACUGUGGGUGGCGAGUGGCGGACGGGGUGAGGAAUACGUCGGAAUCUGCCCAGUCGUGGGGGAUAACUAGCCGAAAGGUUAGCUAAUACCGCAUACGACCGAGAGGUGAAAGCGGGGGACCGGCAAGGCCUCGCGCGAUUGGAUGAGCCGACGUCGGAUUAGCUAGUUGGCGGGGUAAAGGCCCACCAAGGCGACGAUCCGUAGCUGGUCUGAGAGGAUGAUCAGCCACACUGGAACUGAGACACGGUCCAGACUCCUACGGAGGCAGCAGUGGGGAAUAUUGGAC
rnacentral:rRNA from 1 species